UAUGUGCUGAGAAAAGUGGGAGAAGGAAGGUUAGUCUAGUGACUGUUGAAGUCGUAACUGAUUCAAUCACAGCUUAUACUUGCUCAUAUCUGUCAUGAGUAAAUGGAAAAGAGAACGAAACAGACUGGUAAAUAAGUUCAUUCCUGUCAUGCAGAAACCUUCAUGCAUGAAGCUGCCAAGUUGCAAGGAUAAGGUAAUCAAGUGCUCGUAGGGACACAUGCUCUUACCAAAAGAAAGGAAUGUUGGCAGCUCCUGAAAUUACACUCCAGAAGCAUAAAUAUGCAGACCUUAGGCAUUUGAGCAAUCUUUCAGCAGCAGAAGCCUCUUGCAAAGUUUCAACAGCAGCAAGCAGAGCAAUGUCUCUUUGUCUUGACACCUCCUGCAGAACAUAUCAACCCAUUUAUCAGACAGAUAGUCAAGUCACAGAAUCUUGAGACCACAACCUUCACCAGUUAUAUGACAAAGGUGCAAAGAAGUUCAAGAACUCACAGAAAGUCUGCUGC